AACCCUUGUCCUUAGUUACCAGCACGUUAUGGUGGGCACUCUAAGGAGACUGCCGGUGACAAACCCGGGAGGGAAAGGUGGGGAUGACGUCAAGUCAUCAUGGCCCUUACGGCCUGGGCUACACACGUGCUACAAUGGUCGGUACAAAGGGUUGCCAAGCCGCGAGGUGGAGCUAAUCCCAUAAAACCGAUCGUAGUCCGGAUCGCAGUCUGCAACUCGACUGCGUGAAGUCGGAAUCGCUAGUAAUCGUGAAUCAGAAUGUCACGGUGAAUACGUUCCCGGGCCUU
rnacentral:rRNA from 1 species